UAAUUUGAAUCACGUGAUGGCUUAUUCAACUAUACCACGCCUACUUUUAAAAGCCAAGCUACUAAUUUUUUCAUCCAACAUCAUGUAAGAGAAAAUUAUCACUUUGGCAUAAUGAAACAAAUGUAUCUAUCUCAAAUAGGCCCCUGGCUUUGUAGUUUCAGUACUGAUACACAGUCCCACUUCCAUCAGUCAGAAUGAUAACAUUUUAGUCCAUGGUGCAAUCUUACCAAAGAAAUGAAUGAAUCUCAUCACCAGUUGAUAGUACUUGUUAAUCCUAGUUCUAUAGUGUAUUAGUUAAUGGAAAAGUUAUUAGAAAAAUAUACUUAUCAAUUAUUAGGUAAAUAGAUAAAAUAGCAAUAAUUAUUUAGAAAUAUGAUUUGUCUAGAUUGCAUUCAGUGUACUGCAAAUUAAGUUAUAUCUGAGAAGCAAGCACCUGUAGUUUGAUAAAGUGUUGUCAGUGUGUUUUUCACACUUGUAUGUAGUACUACAGUAUGUAGCACAUGCAUGUAAAUUCAAGUUG
rnacentral:misc_RNA from 1 species